UGGGCAAGUAGGGGCAUCAGACUGAAGUCGAAGAUGAUCCUCACAGUCUAUGAUGCUCUCACUUCACUCAUCUAUGGGUGAACAGGGGCAUCGGAUUGAAGUCGGAGACGAUCCUCGCAGUCGACGAUGCUCUCACUUCACUUGUCUGUGGGCAAGCAAGGGCAUCAGACUGAAGUCGAAGAUGAUCCUCACAGUCAAUGAUGCUCUCACUUCACUCAUCUGUGGAC
rnacentral:lncRNA from 1 species